AUGGAUAUGAUAGGAACGGCACCUCCGGCAUCAAUCCUGGCUCUUCCAGCAGGAUGGGAAUCUUGCGGCCUUGCCCAUUUCUUCUAUGUUUCCCAUUUCUUGGUAUUGGUUUUCUGGUUUGUUGUGUAUAUGAUUGGGUUUAUUUUUAUGUUUGCUAAUUGCUUCUUUCAACUCAACAGGGAUCAAUUCGCCAUUGAACUCGAGCUCCUUCAAUUUUGGAAGGUUGCCAAUGCCGGACAGACUCCCCACCGUGCCCCUUGUGAACGACCAGAUGAUUUUCUCAAGCUUAGGAGCAGAUCCGCUGGCGAACUCUAUCUUGGUGAUGGCAGAACUAUCGACAAUAAGAAGGUUGAGACUUGGGAACUCAUCUUUGUUGAACUUAAUCUGGCUUUCAACACAAGCUUUCUCCUUCAGGACUAG
rnacentral:rRNA from 1 species